AGUAGGGUAAGCUAAAAAAGCUAUUGGGCCCAUACCCCAAAUAUGUGGGUUAAACUCCCACCCCUCCUA
rnacentral:tRNA from 2 species